rnacentral:rRNA from 1 species
GACGAACGCUGGCGGCGUGCUUAACACAUGCAAGUCGAACGGAAAGGCCCUGCUUUUGUGGGGUGCUCGAGUGGCGAACGGGUGAGUAACACGUGAGUAACCUGCCCUUGACUUUGGGAUAACUUCAGGAAACUGGGGCUAAUACCGGAUAGAAGCUCCUGCUGCAUGGUGGGGGUGGGAAAGUUUCGGCGGUUGGGGAUGGACUCGCGGCUUAUCAGCUUGUUGGUGGGGUAGUGGCUUACCAAGGCUUUGACGGGUAGCCGGCCUGAGAGGGUGACCGGCCACAUUGGGACUGAGAUACGGCCCAGACUCCUACGGGAGGCAGCAGUGGGGAAUAUUGCACAAUGGGCGGAAGCCUGAUGCAGCAACGCCGCGUGCGGGAUGACGGCCUUCGGGUUGUAAACCGCUUUCGCCUGUGACGAAGCGUGAGUGACGGUAAUGGGUAAAGAAGCACCGGCUAACUACGUG